ensembl:lncRNA
GUCAAGCCACGGAACCUGAAAGCAGAUGAUUCAGAGAAAAUGAUUUAACUCUUUAGAAUCUCACAAACACUCCUGAGGGUAAGACUCAUACACCGUCACCACACAUCUGCUUCUUUCAGUUGGAAAGCUUUGAAUUUCUUUUACUAAUAAUUUUUUGGUCAUUGAAGUCCAUCUGCACUUGCUGUCAGUCAUUCUAAUAGUAUUGUAUGGGCCAGUCUAGAUGUUACAUUGGAUGUCUUAUUGCCCCUUAGAUGAAACUGGAUGAAAUUAAAUGUGCCUAUGAGGUUGUAGACAGUGCUGGUGCAGAGCAAGCAAGAAUUGAAAAUGAGAUGAAAGCCAAAGUCCUAAAGCUGGAAGCUGGCUCUCCGUGUGUCACGGUUUGCUACUGCACAAGAACACGGAGCGAGGAGACCAAGAGUACUAAACCAAGGCAUUUAUUCAUAUCGCAGGAAUCACACGUAGCACAAGGAGUUGACAUCAACAGUACUGAACUGAGAACAGGGAACACACCUCACAAGGAGUUGACAUCAACAGUACUGAACUGAGAACAGGGAACACUAUUUAUCCACAUGACAAGACGAGGGGAUGACGAGACACACCUGGGAUCAAUAGAAAUAAACGGGGAACACCAGGAGACA